rnacentral:lncRNA from 9 species
CCAAUCACAAUUUAAUAUUUAAAAAUAAAAUCUCAGCUACAGAAAAAUAAUAGGAGCAGGCCCACCAUAAAAGGAGCAGGAGAACUGAAAUGAAGUGCUCUCAUAAAAGUUUCAUAAAAAAAUAAACCACACACCUAUGACACACUUGGGAGAAAUGCCAUAAAAUUUCUACACGCAAAGAGGCAAUGUUCCCUCCAUCUUCCUUUCCUGUUCAACAAGCAUUUGUUCUGAAUUCUCAAGUCCCUACAGGUGAGUGUUGACAGGUUUUACAGCAUUUCAGAGGGAAAAAGUUUACAAUCACUGGGUUGGGAAGAGGGGAAAGAGAAAUGAGCCCCAUCCUGGGAAAUCACAGGGUACUGGUGUCAGGGGACAAGGAUUCUCAUACAACCCUGUUCUUCCUAAUCCAGGUUUUACAGGAAUACGUAGUUCCAGUUUUUGUUGUAUUCAGGAGAAAGAAAGCACGGUGUGUUGAGGAAGAGGAGUCUUCUUCGUGGCUCCUCCAAUUCAGGAAAGCCUAAAUUGGAUGCAAGAGAUGAAAAAGGCUUCAGCUGCUUCUAUAGAAGUUACUGAAAUCUUCAGGUAAAAUACCAUAUAUUCUGGCCUUUGAUUGUGUUCUCUUAAACCCUUGUGUUUCAUGUGUGUCAAGUCUUGACCUCUCCAUAGCACUUGAGCAUUUGAGGUCAGAGCUUUGCCUCCUAUUUCUUUUGUGUUAUUCUCUCUGAGUCCCUAGUAGGUGUUCAAAUAUACUUGUUUAAGGGAAAUGAACUGUUAAUGUCUGAUGGCAAUUACCAUUGUCAAACAGUUUGAUGUUAGGGUUGGUGUCAUUGAUUCAUCUGGACAAUCCCCCAAAGCAAUUCCUAAAGCCCUGGUGAAUUAUUUUAUUUGGUAAGGUAAUUUACUCAAUUAUUCUUAAGCAAAUCACUUUUAGUUUUCUUAACUCAAGUAGAUCGCUCUAUUGGUCUUAUUUUCUCCCUGUUCACAAUUUCCCCCAAACAUCUGUCUGUUUAUCUGUAUACUUCUCUAUUUUCCCCAACUUCUAUCUUCCAAACUUCUCUCUAUCCCCAAACAUCUGAACCUUUGACUUUCAGAGGAUGUUGCCUUCAUUCCUCCAAACAGUUUCUGGCUACCGUGUGCUCAUUUGUCUGGAGUUCUUGACCACAGUGAAGCCACUUGUAUUUGUUUUGGAUGCCUGCCUACCCAGACUUGCAUGAUUAUUAUAUUUACUAUCACCUGAGUAUACCAGGGUGGGGGGAGGUGGUUGGUGGGAAUUGGGAAGGGGAUGGUAUUUGUCUUCAUGUGUAUUCAGUUAAGUCAGAGAAAUCACUCCUGAACUUAGCCUAACCAAAAAGGAGAGAUUACUGGAAAGACCCAAAGUGGCUCUCAGGAAGAACUGUAUAAACCACUUUCUUGUGGUCCUCUCUCUUUCUGUGCCUUCACUGACUCUUUUAUCCUCUGUUUGUUAUAAAUGUGAACAUUACCAAGGGUCUUCUUGAUCUUUUUAUUUUGACUUUCUCUAGAUUCUAUUUGGAUGAACUCACCUUUACUCUUAGGUUGCAAUGAUUUCCAAGUAUACACCUCUAGGAUAUUUCUUGCACUUGCUCUUCAGAGCAGUUUUUUCAACAACCAUUGUGUACUUCCAUUUUUAUGGUCUCCAAACCUGAAGCUCAACUUGACACCAUCUAAAUUCUUUCUCUUUGUCUCCACCUCUUCCUUCUUUACUGUCUAUCUGGUUCAAUGAUGACCUCAUCCAGUGAUCAGCUGGGGCAGAGCUUCGGUUGUCUCCCAUUAUCUAUUCUCCUCCUCUUCCAUGGUAAUACAAUUCCACAUUUCUAGAUGGACUAUCUCCAUGCAGAAUAAAGGCUACUUUGCCAAUCUCUCUGUAGCUAAGUUUUGGGCAAAGGGAAAUGAAAAUUGUGUCAUGCGGCAGCUUUUGAAAAUGUUUAAAAUACUGCUAGCAUCUUUCCUUUGCCCUUAUUUUCUAUGUUCCUUCCUCCAUCCUGCUGCCUGGAAUGUGAAUGUGAUGACUGGAGCUUGAGCUGUCAUCAUGGACCACAAGGCUGAGGUCACAACUUAUGAACACUGAAUUUUGUACAGGAAGGAGCCUGGGUCUUUGAGGGCUUCAAGAAGCAGAGCUGUUUUCUGAUCCUACAUUGCCAACUUCUGGACUUAACAGACAAGAAAUUCUGCAUCAAUUUUCUCUAGACUUUAAAUUUUUUGUCCUUUUACUCACAGCCAAACCUAUUUCUGAUUGACAUAUCAUCUCAACCAAAAUCUUAGAGUAAUGCUAGACAAUUCCCUCUCUUCCAAGACCCAGAUCCAAUUAGUCAUCAAAUGCUAUUGAGUCUAUCACUCUGGUAUCUUUCUUUCCUCAUUUCAGCCUUUAUUUUUCCAGUCAAGACCUUCAUACUUACCUGAUAUAUGCUCUACAUUGCCACUGGAAUGACCUUUCUAAAAUAGAUCAAAUCCCUGAUUAAUCUCUUGCAGUUGUUGCAGUUAUCCCACUGUCUGCAAUUCUUAGUAUGGAAAACUCUUCAAUAUCUUUGGGUCUCACAAUUCCUUUCCCACCACUCCUCCCUACUCAUGAUCUCCAAACUAUUUACAGUGCUGGACCAAUCCACUCUAUUUCUUAUCUUUGUGCCUAUGCUAUUAUCCAGCACAGCUAGCCUUUUUUCUUCCUCAAUCCUCAUCUAGAACCUUUAUGAAAAACUUUCCUAAAUCCCAAAGAGUAGAAGGGGACUGAUAACUUUUCCCUUUGUGGUAGGAAUGAGCCUUACAUGUAUAUUACACUGUUUAUUCUCUUCUAGAAUUACUUGUAUUACUUGUGUGUGUAUCUUUUAGAUUGUGUGCUUUUUUAUGAUAGGAACUAUACCCUUUUUUUUUUUAUCAUUUGCAUCUAACCUGGUGUCUAGAACUUGAUAAGUGUCCAGGGAUCUGUCUUUGCCUUCACCUCUGUACCCCAUCUCUAUUAAUUUCUUAUUGUUGCUAUAACAAAUUAGUGAAAGUUUAGUGGCUUCAAACAAAACAAAUUUAUUAUCUCAUAUUUCUGGAGAUGGGAAAUCUAAAAUGUGUUGUCAGCUUGCAUUCCUUUUAGAGGUUCUAGGAAAGAAUCCAUUUCCUUGCCCUUUCCAGCUUUUGAGCCCCCUGAAUUUCUUCGCUCAUGGUUACCUUCCAUCUUCAAAGCCUGAAAUGAUGGUCAAGUCUUUAACAUUGUAUCACUCUUGACUCUGACUCUCCUGUGUCCCUCUUUGACUUACAAUAGGGACCCCUGUGGUUACAUUGGGCCUUCCCAGAUAAUGCAGUAUAACCUCUCUAUUUCUUCCCAUCUGAUUAGCAAUCUUAAUUCCAUUUGCAACAUUAAUUGCCUUUUUCCUUGUGACAUAGCAUAUUCACAGUUUCCAGGGAUUAAGACAUGAACAUUAUUCUGCCUGCUAUACCAUGUCAAGACUAGUUUUACCACAGCAGUCUCACGUGACCCAUUAAAAACAUAUGUUAGGUGACAUCACAGCUCUGCUUGAAACCUGCCAAAAAAUUCUGAUCUCAUUUGGGGUCCAGGUCCUCGUGAUACCUCCUAUGCCUUACAUUGUCUGACCCUCCUCUUUCUCCCAGAUCUCUGGCUUGCUCUCUCCCAGCCAAUUCUAAACAUGCCAAGGAAAUAUUCUUUUCUUUCUUUUUUUUUUUUAAAGGGCUGAACCUGCGGCCUAUGGAAGUUCCUAGGCUGGGGGUUGAAUUGGAUCUACAGCUGCUGGCCUACACCACAGCCACAGCAACACCAGAUUCAAGCUGCAUCUUUGAUCUACACCACAGCUCACAGCAACACUGGAUUCUUAACCCACCGAGUGAGGCCAGGGAUUGAAUCUGCAUCCUCAGGGAUACUAGUUGGAUUCAUUUCCACUCUGCCACAGUGGGAACUCCCAUACCAAGGAAAUCUUGCCUUGGGGCUUUUCCUCACAUAUCUACACGACCGACUUCCCUACUAACUGCAGAAAUCUGAUCAGAUCUCAAUUUAGUGAAUUUUGUGACAAAAUUAUAUAAGAUAGCAACUCCCUGAAAAUCUAUAUCACCCUAUUAUAUUUUCUUUUCCCUAUGGCCCUUAUCUUUAUAUGACCUACUUUUGCUGUUUUUAAUUUUCUGUCUUUCCUAUGUCAGCCAGGAUGAGAGGAGUGUUUGUUGCUGUUGCUCACUGUAGUGUCUUUGGUUCUUAGAGAAGUGCCUGGCACAUAGAAAACUUUCAAUAAAUAUUUAGUGAAUGAAAUCUGUGGAUGUGUGCAUGAAGAAUUCUUGUUCUAUCCAGGGCUGGAGGGAGUUUAUGAUGUGAAGGAAAUGGAAGCCCAGUGUUAAGGAGAGUGUCUGGAUUGUUCACAAAUCAAAAAAAUUUUUUUUGUAGUAACCAAACAUAGAUUUUAUUUUUUAAUUUAAUUUUUAUUGAAGAAUAGUUGAUUUACAAUGUUGUGUUAGAUUCAGGUGUACAGCAAAAUGAUUCAGUUAUAUAUAUAAUUUUUCAGAUUCUUUCCCAUAUAGGUUAUUACAAAAUAUUGAGUACAGUUCCCUGUGCUGUACAGUAGGUUGUUUAUUUAUUUUAUAUAUAAUAAUGUGUAACAAAUCUAUUUUUUUCUUAUUAAGUAUUAUUCACAUAUAGUUGAGUUACAAUGUUGUGUUAGUUUAUGCUGUACACAAAAGUUAUACAUAUAUAGAUUCUUUUUCAUUAUAUUUUAUUGCAGGAUAUUAAAUAAGAUCCCCUGUGCUGUAGAGUAGGACCUUGUUGUUUAUUCACCCUAUACAUAAGAGUUUGCCUCUGCUAAUCCUAAAUUCUCAAUCCUUCCUUCUCCCACUCCCCUUCCCCCUUGGCUACCACAGUUCUGUUCUCUAUAUGUGAGUCUGUUUUUUUUUUUUUUUUUUUUCUUGUAUGUGUGUUGAUUUGUGUCAUAUUUUAGAUUCCACAUAUGUGAUAUCUUAUGGUAUUUGUCUUUCUCUUUCUAACUUCCUUCGUUUUGUAUGAGAAUCUCUAUUUCCAUCCAUGUUGCUGCAAAUGGCAUUAUUUCAUUCUUUUUAAUGGCUGAGUAAUAUCACAUUGUCUGUAGAUACCACAUUCAUCUUUCCAUUCAUCUUUUGAUGGACAUUUAGGUUGUUUCCAUGUCUUGGCUAUUAUAAACAGUGCCUCUAUAAACAUAGCGGUGCAUGUAACUUUUCAAAUUAUAGUUUUGUCUGAAUAUAUGCCCAGGAGUGGGAUUGCUGGAUCAUAUGGCGACUCUAUUUUUAAUUUUGUGAGAAAGCUCCAUACUGUUUUCCACUGUGGCUGCACCAACUUUCAUUCCCAGCAACAAUGUUAGAGGGUCCCAUGUCCUCCAUAACCUCUCCAGCAACUAAUCUAUUUUUAAUAAAAGCAAUCCUCUCAUCUUUAUCAUUAAAUGAAGAGGCCAAUAUCAGCCUCUCCAGACAGUUUCUAAGUCACCAAGACUAAUUUUUCAGGGAGUUAUAAGAACUUGCUUUAAAAAUACUUGAGAAGAGUGGGAGCGUGUCCUGUAACACACAGUCCUGUGGCAUAUGCCCCGCAGAGUCAGGGCCCGGGGCUCCUGCAGACACAUUCUGUGAGCCUCAGUGAAGAGAGGAGCAUGUCUUAAGGCUGAUGAGUUUUAAAUCCUUCCCCAUUAACUUUUUAAAAAUUGUUUUGUCUUCCCUGAAAUGUUUAAAAUAGCUUACUUCACUGUAUUAGCAGUUAGUUCCUGACUGAAAUCCUAUGUUAUGCAAAUGUUUAAGAAGUAAAAUCUAUGCAAUUUAAUAAUUAAAAUAUUUAAUAGUAUUUUAUUAAUAAAUAAUGAAAAACACACAAGAAAUGUUUUAUUCAGACAAUCUUAACCUCCAAGGACAACAGACUUCUCCAAGUGGAGGUCUAAUGGUAAUUUAUUGAAAGUAGCCCAAAUUUCAUUCCCAAAAUGUUCUGCUGUUUGUUGACAGCUCUUCCUGGGGCACAGUGAAGACCUGGUGCAGAAACUACCUCCUGCUUUUCUGUGCCCCAAAUUAUUUUCUAUGUCUGAAUCUAUUUCUAAUCCUUCCUAAAACUUCCACCUCAGCUGUAUGAUUCUUUAUAUAAUGUGAAAUUGGAAAGAGAAAAACCCUAAAGAACCAAAAAACAAAAAAGGUGUAAAGUUUUCUUUUUCUGCAUUUUUAUCCUUGAAGCAGAAAAAGAAACAGCUGAUACAAUUGUGUCCUUUAAUGUUUACCCAGCAGCUGUUCUUCAGGUGCACUGUUUUAUAUAUAACUUUCUGAGUGGUGGGCGUGCUCACUGGUCUUAUUGUGGUCAUGGUUUCAUGGCAGAUGCAUGUGUCAAAACAUCAAAAUGUGCACUUUAAAUAUAUGUAAUUUAUUUAUUUUUACCAAUUAUAUCUCAAUAAAGGUAUUGAAAAAAAUUUUUUAAACACACACACAUAAUGCACGCAGUACUCUUCUACUUCCAAAGCUACACUGUCCAAUAAAAUCCGGUGGCUAAAUUCAGUUAGUGAAAA